rnacentral:rRNA from 1 species
UAAAACAUAGUGUUAAUGCACCGGAUCCCAUUAGAACUCCGCAGUUAAGCGCACUCAAGAUAGAGUAGCACUGGGAUGGGUGAUUUCUCGGGAAGUCCUAGUGUUUUAC